rnacentral:ncRNA from 1 species
UGUUGGCAAGGGCAAACCCGUCCGAAAGGCGGGGGCGCAAAGCCACGGGUCUACGGACGAAAGUCUAUGGCAGCCGGGCUGCCGGA